rnacentral:rRNA from 1 species
GACGAACGCUGGCGGCGUGCUUAACACAUGCAAGUCGAACGAGUGGCGGACGGGUGAGUAAUGUCUGGGAAACUGCCUGAUGGAGGGGGAUAACUACUGGAAACGGUAGCUAAUACCGCAUACCAUCAGAUGUGCCCAGAUGGGAUUAGCUAGUAGGUGGGGUAACGGCUCACCUAGGCGACGAUCCCUAGCUGGUCUGAGAGGAUGACCAGCCACACUGGAACGGAGACACGGUCCAGACUCCUACGGGAGGCAGCAGUGGGGAAUAUUGCACAAUGGGCGCAAGCCGGAUGCAGCCAUGCCGCGUGUAUGAAGAAGGCCUUCGGGUUGUAAAGUACUUUCAGCGGGGAGGCGUUACCCGCAGAAGAAGCACCGGCUAACUCCGUGCCAGCAACCGCGGUAAUAC